UACGGAGGAUCCAAGCGUUAUCCGGAUUUAUUGGGUUUAAAGGGUGCGUAGGCGGAUUGAUAAGUCAGUGGUGAAAGCCUGCAGCUUAACUGUAGAAUUGCCGUUGAUACUGGUGUUCAUGAGUAUAUUUGAUGUGGGCGGAAUGUGUCAUGUAGCGGUGAAAUGCUUAGAUAUGACACAGAACACCGAUUGCGAAGGCAGCUCACAAAACUACAACUGACGCUGAGGCACGAAAGCGUGGGGAGCAAACAGG
rnacentral:rRNA from 1 species